rnacentral:rRNA from 1 species
GGAUGCGAUCAUACCAGCACUAAAGCACCGGAUACCAUCAGAACUCCGAAGUUAAGCGUGCUUGGGCGAGAGUAGUACUAGGAUGGGUGACCUCCUGGGAAGUCCUCGUGUUGCAUUCC